UACGUAGGGUCCGAGCGUUGUCCGGAGUUACUGGGCGUAAAGCGCGCGCAGGCGGUCCGCGAGGUGUCACGUGAAAGCCCCGGGCUCAACUCGGGAGGGUCGUGGCAAACCGGCGGACUUGAGGCCGGUAGAGGUGGGUGGAACUCCUGGUGGAGUGGUGAAAUGCGUAGAGAUCAGGAAGAACACCCGUGGCGAAGGCGGCCCACUGGGCCGGAACUGACGCUGAGGCGCGAAGGCGUGGGGAGCGAACAGG
rnacentral:rRNA from 1 species